rnacentral:rRNA from 1 species
UGAGGAAUAUUGCCCAAUGGACGCAAGUCUGAGGCAGCAACGCCGCGUGGGCGAUGAAGGCCUUCGGGUUGUAAAGCCCUUUUCUGGGGGAAGAGGAAGGACGGUACCUCAGGAAUAAGUCACGGCUAACUACGUGCCAGCAGCCGCGGUAAUACGUAGGUGGCCAGCGUUAUCCGGAUUCCCUGGGCGUAAAGCUCGUGCAGGCGGUUUCGUAAGUCUGACGUGAAAGCUCCUGGCUUAACUGGGAGAGGUCGUUCGAUACUGCGGGGCUUGAGGUCGGGAGAGGGACGUGGAAUUCCCGGUGUAGGGGUGGAAUGCGUAGAUAGAGGGAGGAACACCAGUGGCGAAGGCGACGUCCUGGCCCGCACAUGACGCUGAGACGCGAAAGCGUGGGUAGCGAA